rnacentral:rRNA from 1 species
AUUGAACGCUGGCGUCAGGCCUAACACAUGCAAGUCGAACGAGUGGCGGACGGGUGAGUAAUGUCUGUGAAACUGCCUGAUGGAGGGGGUUAACUACUGUAAACGGUAGCUAAUCCCGCAUACCAUCGGAUGUGCCCAGUUGGGAUUAGAUAGUAGGUGGGGUAAAGGCUCACCUAGGCGACGUUCCCUAGCUGGUCUGAGAGGAUGACCAGCCACACUGGAACUGAAACACGGUCCAGACUACUACGGCAGGCAUGAGUGGGGAAUACUGCACAAGGGGCGCAAGCCUGAAGCAGUCAUGCCGCGUGUAUGAAGAAUGCCUUCGGGUUGUAAAGUACUUUUAGCGGGGAGGCGUUACCCGCAGAAGAAGCACCGGCUAACUCCGUGCCAGCCGCCGCGGUAAUUC